ensembl:lncRNA
UUUUUUUUUUUUUUUUUGUAGAGACAGGGUCUCAGUAUGUUGCCUAGGUUGGUCUCUAACUCCUGGGCUCAAGUGAUCCUCCUGCCUCAGUCUCACAAAGUGCUAAGAUUACAGGCAUGAGCCAUCACACCCAGCCUGGAAGUUCCUUAUUACCAGGCAGAGAGAGAAGCAAUUCCAAGCUUAUAGGAUUCUAGGAAAAUUUCUAAUCCAAUCUCUUCAUGUCUCAGGUGAGAGGAGGGAGACCUGGAGGAAGCCACUGUGCCCCUAUUUAAAGUAAGAAAACCCCAAAGAGAUCUUCCCUGGUCAAACAGUUUCCAAACCGUUGAAUGUGAAUCUUGCUACCAGCAGCAUGAGCAUCAAUGGGAGCUUGUUAGGAAUGCACGUUCUCAGGCCUCACCCCAGACUUGCUACAUCAGCAUCUCUGGGUGGGGUCCAGGAAUCUGCAUUUUAACAAAUUAGUCAGGUGGCUGCACAGUAAAUUUUGAGAAUUUAGCCUGCUUAAUCUGAUGCAUGCUAAGAUCUGGAAAACACUGCUCUCACGAUUUGGGGGUGGGGGUUCUUUGGAGAGUUCAACAGAAAUUUAAGGUUCAUUUUCAUUAUGUUGAUGUAACUGUGUUUUUAAACCACAAUUUAAAAACAGCCCUUAAACCCUAAGUUACAUACCAAAUUUUAACAACUGGGAGGCCACCUUGGGCCACAGACUUAGGUCACAUUUUCAUGUCUGAACUCCCUGGAAGGAGGCUGCCCGUGUUAUUCUGUGAGCACAAGGCGGGGCGUGCCCCAUCCUGAGCAGCACACACUGGGCACACUGACUUCAGCUGGAACCACUCUGGCAAGCUCUCUCAGUUAGCUCUCCCCUGCUUGCGAUGCCCCCUAGAUUGGGUAUGAAAGUCAGCUGAGAACGUCGGUGCCUUCUGCAGGUUUUUGUAUUUAUUAUGAUCCUACUUAUACUUACGAUGAGGCGUGGAUAUCAUUUAAUAUGUGACACAGAAACAACACAACACUUGUCAAAUUUCUGCAUCUGUUUCACCCAACAAUUAUAAGUUGAGCUGUUAAAAAAAGAAAACUUUUUACCAUCCACAACCACCACUUACAUGAUUACAGGAGUUAUCAAGAAUUUUAAUACUUUUUUCUUUUUUUAAGACACGGUCUCACUCUGUCACCCAGGCUGCUCAAGGACUUCGAGGCUCAAGUGAUCCUUCCACCUCAGCCUCCCAAAGUGCUGGGAUUACGGGUAUGAGCCACCACGCCCAGCCGACUUUAGGCAUGUAAUAAACUUAAGUGAUUUAGAUUGGCUCAGUUUGGCCACAGGCAGCUAGGUGAGCUUCUGCAGCUUUAGCUACCUGCUUACACUCACUCAUUUCCCACUAGUGCUGCUUACCACCCAACUCAGUUGUCGACCCCACCCCUGGCUGCAGGGAGGGUGGGCACUCAGACCCUGCCACUCAGAGCUCAUGGUCCCCAUGGAGUGGCGCAGGCCCAGUGAGAGCCAGGGAGACCUCAGGGGACUUUGGCAGGAAGAAGCCUGGAGUGUCAUCACACCGCCAAGGACAAGAAGGGAAGCACACGCCACCCCACUCAACUGCCCUAGAAACACAAAGCUAAGGGGAGGCCACCAGCCAAUGUACUGAAGUCAUACAAUCCAUUCCAGAUCUCACUCAUGGUG